CCUAGGAGAGCUGUGUUUUCUCUGUUUAGUUAGGUCAGGGUGUGAUAGGUGGGUGGGCAUUCUAUGUUUUGUUUUUCUAUGUUUUGGCCGGGUAUGGUUUCCAAUCAGAGGCAGCUGUCUAUCGUUGUCUCUGAUUGGAAGCCAUACUUAGGCAGCCUUUUUCCCCCUUGGUUUUCGUGGGUUGUUGUUUUCUUUUUCAUUGUAUUUACCUGACAGAACUGUUGGCUGUCAUUUUUGUUUAUUUUGUCUAGUGUUAAUUUUUCAUUAAAAAAAUAACGAUGAGCACUCAACACGCUGAGCCUUGGUCUCUUCUAUAUGACGCCCGUUACACCCUGGUCUCCACAUUAGACAAUAAAUGUUUGUUUUGUUCAAUAAAGUUCAUAUUUAUGUCCAAAUACCUCCUUUUUGUUCACGUGUUUAGUCUAGUAACCCAAAUGCACGAAGCGCGGGCACAAAGUCCAGACGAAAAGUCAAAAAAGUUCCAUUACAGUUCGUAGAAACAUGUCAAACGAUGUAUAUAAUCAAUCUUUAGGAUGUUUUUAUCAGAAAUCUUCAAUAAUAUUCCAACCGGACAAUUCCGUUGUCAUUAGAAAGGAAAGGGAACGGAGCUCGCACUCACCGCCGUGCGUGAGUGUGUAUGUAUAAACGGUGAACCAGCAAAAACAAUAAACAAGAAGCAACACAACAAACAGUUUCGCAGGCUACUAACAGCAAUGCAAAAUCAACUUCCCACACAGACAGGUGGAAAAAGGGCUACCUAAGUAUGGCUCCUAAUCAGCGACAACGAUGUACAGCUGUCCCUGAUUCAGAGCCAUACCAGGCCAAAACACAGAAAUACAAAACAUAGAUAGGGAACAUAAAAUGCCCACCCCAACUAACGCCCUGACCAAACCACAAUAGAGACAUAAAAAGGAACUCGAAGGUCAGGGCGUGACAAUUUCACCUUUAUUUAACCAGGUAGGCAAGUUGAGAACAAGUUCUCAUUUACAAUUGCGACCUGGCCAAGAUAAAGCAAAGCAGUUCGACACAUACAACAGCAGAGUUACACAUGGAGUAAAACAAACAUUCAGUCAAUAAUACAGUAGAAAAAUAAGGGAGGUAAAGGCAAAAAAGGCCAUGCUGGCAAAGUAAAUACAAUAUUGCAAGUAAAACACUGGAAUGGUAGAUUUGUAGUGGAAGAAUGUGCAAAGUACAAAUAGAAAUAAUGGCGUGCAAAGGAGCAAAAUAAAUAAAUAAAUAAAUACAGUAGGGGAAGAGGUAGUUGUUUGGGUGUAACGGCCGUCGUUGAAGAGAGAAGGGGACCAAGCGCAGCGGGUACGUGAAUACUCAUACUUUAAUUUAUUUAAUUAAAGUGAACACGAAAACAAUAAACAAAGAACGACAGACCGACAGUUUCACAGGCUAAUAAUAACAGCAGUGCAAAAUACAACUACACACAAAGAGACAGGUGAAAACAAGCUCCCUAAGUAUGACUCCCAAUCAGGAACAACGAUGUACAGCUGUUCCUGAUUGAGAGCCACACCAGGCCAACAAAGAAAUACAAAACCUAGAAAUCCUAGAAACCCAAAACAAGAACAUACAGCAAAAACCCCGGAACACAUAAAUACAAUACCCCUCUACAUACACAUAACCCCGCAACCAUAUAAAACAAAUACCCUCUGCCAUGUCCUGACCAAACUACCAUAACCAAUAACCCCUAUACUGGUCAGGACGUGACAGUACCCCCCCCAAAGGUGCAGACCCCGGAUGCACCUCACAACAAAAAAACAAAAAAUAAACCCCUAACUAAAGGGAGGGAAGGGAGGGUGGCUGCCGUCAACGACGGCUCCUGUGCUACACCCCCCCCCCCUCCCCAAACCUCCUACAAUGGAGGUGGCUCCGGCUCAGGCCUCAGUCCCCUACCUGACCCAUCCACCCCCACUGAAAUCCUCUGCCUGAGGCUAUUCACUGAUGACCCUGGACUGUAGGGUGACUCUGGGAGCUCCGGGCUGUAGGACACUCACUCGGUUCUGGACUGUAGGCAGACUCACUCGGUUCCGGGCUGUAGGCAGACUCACUCGGUUCCGGGCUGUAGGCAGACUCACUCGGUUCUGGACUGUAGGCAGACUCACUCGGUUCUGGACUGUAGGCAGACUCACUCGGUGCCGGACUGUAGGCAGACUCACUCGGUGCCGGACUGUAGGCAGACUCACUCGGUUCCGGACUGUAGGCAGACUCACUCGGUUCCGGACUGUAGGCCGUCUCAUUUGGUUCCAGACUGUUUUCUGUUACCGGAUACUCUGGACUGGACACUGUUGCCAGAUACUCUGGACUGGACACUGUUGCCGGAUACUCUGGACUGGACACUGUUGCCGGAUACUCUGGACUGGACACUGUUGCCGGAUACUCUGGACUGGACACUGUUGCCGGAUACUGUGGACUGGACACUGUUGCCGGAUACUGUGGACUGGACACUGUUGCCGGAUACUGUGGACUGGACACUGUUGCCGGAUACUCUGGACUGGACACUGUUGCCGGAUACUCUGGACUGGACACUGUGGCCGGACACUCUGGACUGGACACUGUUGUCGGAAGCUCGAGACUGAGCUGACGCAGUGGAAGCCUAAUGCGUUGGGCUGGUAGUGGAGCUACCAGGCUGGAGACACGCACUUUAAUUAAUAACCUCUUACAUCUAGAC
rnacentral:lncRNA from 1 species